rnacentral:rRNA from 1 species
GCUGAUCCUGCCGGAGGUUACUGCUAUUCGGAUUCGACUAAGCCAUGCAAGUUUUGGGAUCAUCUUGGUUCCAGAGCGUAAAGCUCAGUAAUAUGUAGUUAAUCUGCCCUUGGGUACGGGAUAAUCUUGGGAAACUGAGGCUAAUACCGUAUGGGCAAGGGGAUCUGGAAUGCCCCCUUGCUUAAAGCUUCGGCGCCCAAGGAUGAGACUGCAACGGAUUAGCUUGUUGCCAGAGUAACGUCCUGGCAAGGCGAUAAUCUGUACGGGCCUUGAGAGAGGAAGCCCGGAGAUGGAUUCUGAGACAACAAUCCAGGCCCUACGGGGCGCAGCAGGCGCGAAACUUUCUCAAUGCGCGCAAGCGUGAAGGAGGAAUCUGAAGUGCUAUGUCUUAUAGACAUUGCUUUUGCCAAGUCCAAACAGCUUGGAGAAUAAGUGGUGGGUAAGACGGGUGCCAGCCGCCGCGGUAAUACCCGCGCCACGAGUGGUAAUCACGUUUAUUGGGUUUAAAGCGUCCGUAGCCGGUUUGUUAAGUCUCCGGUGAAAGGUCAUAGUCAACUAUGGCGAUGGCCGGAGAUACUGGCAGACUAGAGACCGGGAGAAGUGUGGAGUAUUCCUGGGGUAGGGGUAAAAUCCUGUAAUCCCAGGAGGACUACCUGUGGCGAAGGCGCCACACUAGAACGGAUCUGACGGUGAGGGACGAAAGCUAGGGGUCAAAAGGGAUUAGAUACCCCUGUAGUCCUAGCUGUAAACAAUGCCCACUGGUUGUUGGAGAUCUUACGGGGGUUUCCAAUGCCUUAGGGAAACCGUUAAGUGGGCCACCUGGGGAGUACGGUCGCAAGGCUGAAACUUAAUGGAAUUGGCGGGGGAGCACACAAGGGGUGGAUGCUGCGGUUUAAUUCGAUUCAACGCGAGACACCUUACCAGGGGCGACAGCAGAAUGAAGGUCAGGCUGAAGGUCUUACCAGACAAGCUGAGCGGAGCUGCAUGGCCGUCGUCAGUUCGUGCUGUGAAGUGUCAUGUUAAGUCAUGUAACGAACAAGACCCGCGUCCUAUGUUGCUAUGGCGCUUCUGCGCCAGCACUCAUAGGAGACCGCUGGUGAUAAGCCAGAUGAAGGUGCGGUCGACGGCGGGUCCGUAUGGCCCUAAUCCCCUGGGCUACACGCGGCAUACAAUGGCCGGAACAAUAGGAUGCAACUCCGAAAGGAGGAGCUAAUCCCCAAAUCCGGUCCCAGUUCAGAUCGAGGGUUGUAACUCACCCUCGUGAAGGCGAAAUCCCUAGUAGUCGCUGGUCAUUAUCUAGCGGCGAAUAUGUUCUUGCUCCUUGCACACACUGCCCGU